AGUAGGACAGCAACAAGCAUUUGGGUGAAGAUAAAGUUACAAAGCCCUGACCAUCAAGUUCCACCCGUGUGGUAUGCAGGAUGUGGAAAGCUACGAUCCAGUUUUGAACCCAGUGCUGAACCGUGAAGUGCGGCGCACAGGGGGGAGAGUGCUGAUCACCCUCGGGGACCAGGACAUAGACCUGUCGCCGUCAUUUGUCAUCUUCCUGUCCACCCGGGAUCCAACUGUCGAGUUCCCACCAGAUCUCUGUUCCCGGGUUACUUUUGUAAACUUCACAGUUACUCGUAGCAGUUUACAAAGCCAGUGUCUAAAUGAAGUACUUAAAGCAGAAAGACCUGAUGUGGACGAGAAACGAUCUGAUCUUCUUAAACUUCAAGGGGAAUUUCAGCUCCGUUUGCGUCAGCUGGAAAAAUCUCUACUACAAGCUCUGAACGAGGUGAAAGGGCGCAUUUUGGAUGACGACACGAUCAUAA
rnacentral:sRNA from 1 species